GACGAACUCUGGCGGCGUGCUUAACACAUGCAAGUCGAACGGUGAAGCUCCAGCUUGCUGGAGUGGAUCAGUGGCGAACGGGUGAGUAACACGUGAGCAACCUGCCCCUGACUCUGGAAUAAGCGCUGGAAACGGCGUCUAAUACUGGAUACGAGAAGGGUCCGCAUGGGCACUUUCUGGAAAGUUUUUCGGUUGGGGAUGGGCUCGCGGCCUAUCAGCUUGUUGGUGAGGUAAUGGCUCACCAAGGCGACGACGGGUAGCCGGCCUGAGAGGGCGACCGGCCACACUGGGACUGAGACACGGCCCAGACUCCUACGGGAGGCAGCAGUGGGGAAUAUUGCACAAUGGGCGAAAGCCUGAUGCAGCGACGCCGCGUGAGGGAUGACGGCCUUCGGGUUGUAAACCUCUUUCAGCAGGGAAGAAGCGAAAGUGACGGUACCUGCAGAAGAAGCACCGGCUAACUACGUG
rnacentral:rRNA from 1 species